rnacentral:rRNA from 1 species
UCUGGCUAUACUGCCCUCAGUGCAUCUGAUCUCUUCUGAUCUCAGAAGCUAAGUGUGUUUGGGCCUGGUAAGUAUUUGGAUAGGAGAAAUGAAGAAUCUUGGCCCUUAUCACAU